rnacentral:rRNA from 1 species
ACGAAGGGGGCUAGCGUUGUUCGGAAUUACUGGGCGUAAAGCGCGCGCAGGCGGUCUUCCAAGUCAGUGGUGAAAGCCCGGAGCUCAACUCCGGAAAUGCCAUUGAAACUGUAAGACUUGAGGAUGAGAGAGGUGAGUGGAAUUCCCAGUGUAGAGGUGAAAUUCGUAGAUAUUCGGAAGAACACCAGUGGCGAAGGCGACUCGCUGGACAAGUAUUGACGCUGAGGUGCGAAAGCGUGGGGAGCAAACAGGA